CUCAGACGGUCACAUCUUCCCAAGGGGCACCUUGGAGAUGUGAUGUUAACGAUGCCUCCCGUGCGUGCAGCCCUGAAGUGGCGUGCAGCUGUGUGGACGUCAUCCAGCUCCUCUCACUCCGAAAGGCCUGUCAGGCCGUGGACUUGUGCAGGCCCAUGACCCAGCGCGGGGUGUAGGCCUGGAAGCCAUCAGGUCACUGAAUCGCUGCGUGACGAGGAUGAGUAAUGGGUGUCAGAGGAGGGGCCCAACCUGUGGGCCGCCCAGGACGUGGCACCUGAGGCCACCACUGUGUCCCCGUCAGCAGCAGGAGAGAUGCGGGCAUCUGUCUCCUCACACCGCCCGCCCCAACCUGGACAAUGUGCACCUGGGCCCCAGUUACUUAAUGCUGGAAACCAGCCGAGCGGGGGCCCCGCCCUGGAGGCGAGUGGCUGGCACCACAAGGGGGAACGAGCAGGGUUAACGAGACGCAGUCGGAGCCUCUGCAGGGAUAAUGGGGUAUACUGGGCUGCGACGGAGCACAGGCCGGUGGACGGGUGUUCCCUGCCCCGCAGGCCCCAGGCCGGGUUCACACUUCACAUCGACAAUCCGCAGAGAAAACAGAUGUGAUUCUACAGGACAGUGGGCCUAAGCCGGCCUGUUUAGUCCUCUUCAGAAAGGAGGAAGGAAGCCACAGCUGGCCAGGGUACCUGACACUCUCCACCUGCAGCGGAAGACUUCAGAACGAGGCCAGAACGUUCCCGUGACCCCGGUAAAGCCUGCUAAUGCCCUCCAUCGGGGGAGCACGGUGCCAGGAGGCGUGAAGCUGUGACCGAGGGCUGUGAGAACUGCUCCACGAGCCUCCUAAGUAGCGGGCAGGCCAUCGCUGGUGUUUCCCUUUCAGAUAAAAGAUGCGCAGGGAAUGUGGGCAAGUCCAGCGACGGGCCCGGCGCGGUGCAGCCGGGGUCGACCAAGCCCGCUAGGGCCCGGGGGAAACCGCCAAGCGCGCGGCCUCGGGCUCCGCGCGGGCUUCCGGAACGCAGCCCGCCGGAGGGAAAAGUCAAGUGCUUCCUCCUUGCAGUACUGGGUCUUUUUAAUCUAAAAAUGAAUGACAUAAGCAAGUUUGCACAAGGCACAUUUUGAGACCUGCAGACAAGACUCUGGCAAGAAACUGGGGUGAGGGGGGCCCGGGGACCUGCUCCAGGUCAGCCGUCCUGCUUCUGACGAGCCCCCUGCCCCCAUGUGCUGAAGGGAGGCGGGGUCCUGCCCUCAGCCCUGAGCGGGCCCAGCUGGCUGGGGGUCAAACCGCAGGCGCGCAUGUUCUCACAGCUCUGGAGGCUGGACGUGCAAGGUCAGGGUGUCACGGGGGCUCCCCCAGAGGCCUCCCUCCUUGGCCUGUAGAUGCCGCCCUCUCCCCAUGUCCUCACACGGGCAUCGCUGUGUGUCUGUGUCAGAACCAUCUCUUCCUGUAAGAGGGUUAGAGCCCACCUGUAUGAAGGCCUCUUACCUCGAUCACCGCUGUAAAGCCCGUCUCCGAGUUCCGCCAUGCUCGGGGAUGCUGGGGGUUAGGACCUCAGCAUGUGAGUCCAGGGGACACAGUGCUGCUCACAACACGCUCUUAGAGGUGGUGCAGGUGGACGUCUCCUCUAAGGUGGAGCAGGUGGCUUGGCGGUCUGGGCGUUGGCUUCUGGUAACAGCAGCUGCGGUGGUUUGGACCAGCCCUCCUGGAGAAGCAGGACAGACAUGCUCUGUGUCUCGGACAUCAGAGAACUGAGACAGCACCGAGGAGCCGGGGGGAGGAGCCCAGGGAGGCGAGCCUGCCUGGGGGCUGCUUCUCCAACCAGGGGCACCUGCUGAUGCUGCACUGGGGGCUGGGGGCCGGGGGCCUCUGGGCGCAGAGAAUGGUCUGUUUUCGUGACCCGCUGCUGGUUACACACUGUGUUUAUCUUCUGGAGAUUCAUUGAGCUGAAUUCUAAUUCACUCUUACGAUUUGAGUACUUUUCUUUAUGUGUUUUGCCUCAAAAAAAAAAAAGUCAUUUAAAAAAGACUUGGCAAUUAACCAACUAGAGUCCGAGGCCCAGCUGCUGCUUAGAAACGUGCCCUCAGGAAAGUUCCUCUUUUUCAAAACUUGAUCCGUUUAGGUGUAACAGGCAGAGCUAAGUGAUGGCCACAGGGUUGUCCCGAGGUGUGCGUGAGAGUCCAGGCCGUGGGCGCCUGGCAGUGGUGGGGCUGGGCCUUCCCCGAGGACCUGCCCUAGGCCAGGCUCCGCCCUGCACCUUCACUGUGUCUCUCCCUGUGGUCUGUGAGCAGGGAGACCAGUCAUGGCCUACUGGCAGCCUCGCUCCGGGUGGGCCCGGUGAGUACUUAGCAGAGCUGAGAUGCGGACUCAGGCCUUGUCCAGAACCAGGGCUGGGGACCCUUGUUUCCAUGGCCUGCUGAUCGCUCAGGACACGAAGAGUCCCACCCCACCUCCAGUUCUGUCCUCUGUAUCUGCUACGUGAACGCCACCUCAAGACUGACUUCCAGAAUUCGGUGUUGCUUCACAGCAGUUCCAGUUUGCCCAGACUAAAAGCGCUUGUCCCCAUGAACUGGCUAGAAGCGGGAGGCAUUUAAUCCCAUCUCAAGGUGAAAUUGAGAAAGGCAGAAAAUUAGAUUACAGAUUCUGUCCCAGAGUAACCAGAAUAAAUCUUUACUGAGCUCAGAUGUAACUCAAAUGUUCAUUAGUCUUAAAGGAGAAGAAAGAAGAGGAGGGGGAGAGGAGGAGGGAGAGAAGGAAAGGGCCUCCAUUUCUCGGGGCCAGGACGCAGGGGCUGCAGUGGAGGCUGGGAUGUGAUGCCUGGAGUCUCCCCAAGCAGAGCUGAGGAAGCAGCUUCUGGAAUGUCCUGCGGAUCUCAGCAGCUGGGGAGCCAUGGGAGCCCCAUCCUGCCCCCGCUGGCCUCGCAGCCUGGAGACGCGACGAGGCGAAGGAGGCAGAGGGGCUGUGUGCGGGGAAGCGGCCCUGGACUUUAGGCGUCUCUGCGGGCGGCUGCGGCUGCGCUCACCAAGCUGUCUUACGUACCUCUGUGCUUCCUUUUUUUGCUUCUGUUUUUUCCUUUAGUUGCCUAGUAAACAUUUCUACUGGAAAAUUCCAACCUUGCCUUGGACGGUCUAAGAGGAAAAGCAGCGUGUCCACACCCAGGCCAGCCCUGCCAGGGAGGCCAGAGGCCCCGAGGACGGGCUUCGUCGGCGAGGCCACCACAGUGGCCCUAGCUGGAACUCGGAGGAGCCUGGACAGCGGCACUGUGGGAUGUGGACACAGGGGGUGUUGGCAGCGGCCACGGCUGCUCUGAAGCCCCAGGCCCGCCCCCCUUCCCUCCCCAACUCAUUUGUUCCUGUCUUCGUCCACAGUCACAGUGUUUAUCCUGUGUCUGUUCUCCUGACUCCUUGCCAGACGGGGUCCCAGAGCCGGGCCCGGCCUUGGGCAGUGGGCAUCUCCAGUGUCUACGCGGCAUUUAGUACCUAACAGGUGCUUCUUGCCUGAAAUCACAUGGGGUGAGAUGGAAGUGGGGGAGGCCUGGGUGAGCAAAGGAGCUGGGGGGUGAGUCACGGUGAGUAAGGCACACAGCACCUGGGGGCCCCAGCAGGGCUUUUAGCUUUUAAAUGAUUAUUAUUUUGGAAAGUUGAAAGGAUGUUGUCAGAUAGAUGCUCCCGUGGUUUGAGUCUGACGACGGUGAAGGCGGGUGGACUUGGCAGAUGCCGGGCUGGGAAGAGGGGUUGGGGGACGCGAAACCAGGACCCUCGGGUCUCCCCACAAGGUGGCGCUCAUCUCUUGUCUUAGCUCCCAAACUCGUCCUCAAAUUGCUGCAGAGCAAUUAGGAGGGCCAUGAGGAGGUUCUGUGUCCGCCCUCCUGCACCGCCUGCCACCUGCUCUGCAGCACUGUAGACGCCUGCACAUUGUUUUAUGUCCCCGCGAACCGGGGUACAGGGCUGUCCCACCCCGCACGGAACCAGGCCCUGAGCCAGCUCGAGCGCCGUGUUUGGGGCGGUGGCGCGGUGACUGGUUUGAGUCUCUUGUGCUGGAACCUGCGGCCUCAGCCAGGGGAGCCGUUGGCCUUACUCUGUAGUGCUGCGGGGUGACCUCUCACACUGACCUGGUACUGCAGCCAGGCCUGGGCCUUUUCUUUGCAAGAGAAAGAACCCGCAUCUCUAAAUUGCACGCGAGGAGUUUUCUAAAAUGCAGACUGAGCAACCCAAGACAAACAGUGACGAAAUCACUUUUCUACCUCCCAAGCUCUUACACUACCGCUGUGGCCCUAAUUGUUAAUUAUCGGGGAUCAUGAACUUCAUCAAGUUUCUUCCCUUCACAUGAUUUUUCAGAAACCUCCAGGCAUUUCACAGAACAAUGAGGCCAAUUCCAAAGAUGCUAACACGGCCUCCCUGACAAAUCUCAGAAUCGGAAGGUUGACCUUAUUUCCACCAGUUUUGAGAAAAUUCUCGGUGACCGUCUUUCCCCGCGUCAUGCCGCAGGGCUGAACGCUGAGGCUGGAGAUGCGAGUCCACUCGAUGUAGCAAUCUCGUUGCAUAAGGGAAAACAGUUGCAAUCUGAAAACAUCUCAAACAGUGCGCCCGCAGGCAGCCUUUUAAGUGUCCCCAGCUGGUGAGAAUAACCUGUUGCGUUUCUGCACCGCCUUCUAGUACCCAUGUCCUUACCCCCAGGGAACCCCGUGGGCCCCUGGGAGGGGCCUGGAGGUGGGUCACUGUCCUGCUGUGGACCGGGGCAGUGACUCAGGAGUGCUCGUACAAGGUCACCAAACAGGGUCACCAGGAAGUUUUCCUUACAGCAUAAAUUUCUGAUAAAAUCCGAGAAAGUGGUGGCCCAGGCAAAGAAUAUUACGCUUACUGUAACUGUAGUCCUCCCGAAAGAGACCACAAUGGUGCCUGCUAUAGGGGGGCCGGGCGGGGGCUCUCCUCACCCGCCUGGUUUCCUUCUGUCCUCACGAUCGGCUGCGCGGUGGCGAUGCUCUUACGUCAUUUUGCAGAUGAAGAAACUGAGGUUCAGAGAGGCUGAGAGGCUGAGAGGCUCAGGGUCACAGGCCAAUCAGUCGCAUCGCUUGAGCUCAGACCAGACCCUCUUCCUCUCCAUGAGCACAUGCUUGUUAGUGUCUGAAAUGGUCUUCUCAGUGGAAGAAAAUGUGACCCUUGCCAAAGUGCCUCAUCAGAAAUGCACCCACAAUAAAAGCUGGUGAAUAUUGUAAAUGUUCUUUAAUUAACGCAGUGGCAGUGUCCUUUCCUGCCAUUCAACCUGCCAGUCUAAUUUUCAGCGAUGAAUUGGGUAAUAUUUAAUAACUUUUAAAAGAGGGCCUUUGACUAAUCUUUGUCCUAUUUAGAAAACCAAACGACGUUUUAAACAGCAUUUGUACAUGUAAUAAUGUGAUUUCCUUAAUUGUCUGAUUAACAAACAGAUCAUGCCAAACACUUAAGAAAUAUUCCUGGAAAGGUAACAAACAAAAUCUGGACACACGAUGCAUUUUACAUUCUCUUAAAAUGUCAAUGUACUAUCAUAAUCUAAGUCAACUGUUUAACCACGUGGUUUAACUCAGAGCUGUGAGUGUGUGACCAGCACAUAAAGGCCUCUUAAACGUAACAAAUGGGAAGACACCAAAUAUGCACAAGUUUUUCUUGACCCCAGUGUUUCAAAAGUAGGUGCGGUUUAUCUUCAUCAUUUUUACACUCAAUUCUGUGUCUUUUUAAGAUCAAAUGUCAUGUGCUCACUAAGGAAAUGAUAUCACUCUAAAUAAAUCUGGGGCUGAAUUCCCAGGUGAAUUCUGGGGACCCCUGACAGUGGAGUUGCAUCAGUGCAGGGGGUUUGGUGGGGUGUGUGAGCCAGAGCUAGAGACACACAGGACGGAUUUCCUUGACGGCCAAGCUGUGCCUGCUUCUGGACUUGCUGUGCUGGUUCUGGACUUGCUGUGUCCCUGUCUGGAAACAGCUUGAUUUACACCUUGUCCCCACAUUCAGUUGUGUGUCACCUCCGUCUUCCUGCCGUGUCUCUUACCAUGGGAAUGGAGUUCACAGUGUUAUUUCUGGCUGAUUCUACUGUAAACUCUUUUCAUAUUCUGCACAUUUCCUGCAGCCGUAACUUACAGUUAUUUAAAUGGUGCUGGACAGGACUCCCUGCCUCUCCAAGGCUUGGUCUGCCCCUGAUGCCAGUUUUGGAAUCAGGCCCAUGGCGAGCCCAGGGUGUGCAUGGAGACAGUGACGGGGAGGAAAGGAAGGUGAGUCUGCAAGACCUUGAGGGGACAGAGGAGCACGAUGUGGGGGUGCAGGGGAGAUCUGUGGAGCAUGGAGACCAUCCCGUUUCUCUAGCUGGGACGGGAGAUGCAGAGAGUGCAGGGGCGAGGGCGACCCAGGACUCUGAAAUGACACGUGGACACAGGUGAGGCUGAGCAUCUCUGAGCCAAGCUCCUGGGUGCCUCCGGGAGGAGGAGUCAGGUGGAAGCCGGGGGACCACCGGGGAAGGAAAUAGUGAUCCAGGCGAGGGUGGGAGAGUGAGAAGGAGCUGGGGUGCUGUGCACACAAGAAUGCUCCAGCGGGUUCCCAGGCAGCGUGUAGGGGCUGGGAGGGAGCUUCCCUGCAAGGCUGAGGCUCAGAGCUCUCAGCGAGGGAGGUCGGGCAGGCAGUGCUGCAGGAAUGGCCGUGUGUGUAUGUGCGCGCGUGUGGACACACAGUCCCCGGUCAGCCCAGCUUGCUGAAGCUGCCGUGAGCGGGCCUCCUUGUCUGCCUUUGGGACACGCAGAGGAAAUGGUCCAACCAGAAAGUCUGCACAUCCAAACAGCCGUGUCCUCAGAACCAUCUGGCCAACGCGGUGACAUCACAGGCCUGGAAUUCCCUCCGCUCUUGGAAACAGCUGCACACGAAUCUUCAGGGACUGGUAGUUAGAAUUCUCUCUGUUUAUGGAAUUUUGUUUUACCUUAAAGUACAUUAAAACUAUUGAUGGCAAUAUAACUACCCUCCCCCUUUUUAAAAGUGAAAGGCCCUUGAACUUGUAUUUGUUUCACUAUUUACAACCCAGUCCCUGAGGAAGACCCCCCCCACACACAGGUUCCUUACCGCUCCAUGCAUCUGAUAAAAGAAAUGCGCACACACUGAAGUCUGGGCAAGCCAUUAUGGCUUCUAUACGAGUUAACUCGAAUUUGAUGUGAACUAGAACAGCCUGUUUGUGGCCCAUCAAACAUGCAUUGUCCAUUUGCUUUAAUUACUAAAGAGAAGGGCCCAUUGACUAGACGUAAGAGUGUCCAUGUUAAAAGUAAAGAUUGAACGCCCCUCUUCCUGGGACGCCCAUGCUGGUCCUCCUCUACUGACGAGACCCCCUUCCCGGGUGCCAAGGCCACAGUGACUUGCUGUGGACGGGCUGAUCUGUGUGUUUUUUCAAGCCUUGAAGAAACAUAUCUCUGACUUGUGUGGUGUUCCUUGUUCUGGCAAGAUAUAAAACUGGGCUGGAAACCCUGCUUUUCCGGAGCAGUUUUGCAGAGUCAUCUGGGAAGUGGCUUCCAGGCUGGUCCUCAGUUUGGCUCAAAUAAAACCCUUUUCUAUUCUUGUGAUUGACUGUUUAUUGAUGACUUUCAUCAACACAUCUCUGUGGUCACCAGCCCAGACAGCAGCCCCCUCAAGCUCUCUUCUCAGCUCUGCUGGGGGCUGGGGAACGGAGACCAGGCAGGGUGUCAGGGCGGGAAGCUCGGAGCUCCUACGCCACUGUAUCCGGCGGGGCGCCCCACGCGGAUGGGCCUCCGGACGCGGGAGCAUCUCAAAAGCAGGGGCCGUCGGCAAGAUCACCCUUAUUCCGUAUGUAGAUGAGGCUUGCCGUCCACACGGGAUUAUAGUUUCUACUCAUGUGGGUUUGGAAUGUGAACAGCACGUGACGUUAUUCUGGAAACACUUUAUCCUAGCUGAAAAUUACGAGUUUGCUCUUGCCACGUUAGCAGGAUGCACAGAAGGCCUGGCGAGAGGAACACUGUGUUUGCUGCUUGCGAAACUCAGAAGCCACAUAGGGGAUGAGGCAGUCAUCUGAGCCAGCGUCGCGUCUGGAAGGAAUUAUGCCUCGUGAACUAAGCUGCAGAAGUCGACUGUGCACAAAACACAACACCCGUGUUCAGAGGGGACAGAAUCUGCCCAUGUCUUGGACACGGCUAGGCCAAAGACUCCCCGACUAUAGAAGGCAGGUUUGCACCUAUGAUCCUCGGCUUCAAUCAGAAACAGAAUCAAAGUCACGUUCAUUACCCCACCCAACAACGACACAUCUGUGAGAAGGGAGGCUUCCAAGAAACUGAAAAAUUAUCUUUACUGUGCAGCUUGAGGCCAGAAUUCUCAUAGCACUAGAAACAUUCCAGACUCUUCUAGUACGUUACUUCUGUCUACACCAGGGGCAUGUGACUUAAAAAAAAAUAAAUGCAGACUUUGCCAACCCCA